GAAGUAGGACGGUUGAUCGCGAGUAGGCAUACUUGGGCCUAUUUUGAGGAAAGUCCGGACUCUAAGGGCAAGAUACUGGUUAACAACCAGAGGGAGUGAUCCCUGAAUAGGGCCAUAGAAAAGAAAACCGCCGAAAGGCAAGGGUGGAACGGUGAGGUAAGAGCUCACCAGUGUCAGAGCGAUCUGGCAGCUUGGUAACCUCUAUCUUGAGCAAGGUCAAACAAGAAGGCCAGAGGUUGCCCGCCGAGAGACUUUAGUGUCCGCCUUCUGGGUAGACCGCGUAGAUUAAUGGUCAACUUUACAGAAUCCGGCUUAUAGUCCUACUGAUAUA
rnacentral:RNase_P_RNA from 3 species